rnacentral:rRNA from 1 species
AGUGAACGCUGGCGGUAGGCCUAACACAUGCAAGUCGAACGGCAGCACAGGAGAGCUUGCUCUCUGGGUGGCGAGUGGCGGACGGGUGAGGAAUACAUCGGAAUCUACUCUGUCGUGGGGGAUAACGUAGGGAAACUUACGCUAAUACCGCAUACGACCUACGGGUGAAAGCAGGGGACCUUCGGGCCUUGCGCGAUUGAAUGAGCCGAUGUCGGAUUAGCUAGUUGGCGGGGUAAAGGCCCACCAAGGCGACGAGCCGUAGCUGGUCUGAGCGGAUGAUCAGCCACACUGGAACUGAGACACGGUCCAGACUCCUACGGGAGGCAGCAGUGGUGAAUAUUGGACAAUGGGCGCAAGCCUGAUCCAGCCAUACCGCGUGGGUGAAGAAGGCCUUCGGGUUGUAAAGCCCUUUUGUUGGGAAAGAAAUCCAGCUGGCUAAUACCCGGUUGGGAUGACGGUACCCAAAGAAUAAGCACCGGCUAACUUCGUGCCAGCCGCCGCCGUAA